rnacentral:rRNA from 1 species
AUUGAACGCUGGCGGCAGGCCUAACACAUGCAAGUCGAACGGUAACAGGAAGAAGCUUGCUUCUUUGCUGACGAGUGGCGGACGGGUGAGUAAUGUCUGGGAAACUGCCUGAUGGAGGGGGAUAACUACUGGAAACGGUAGCUAAUACCGCAUAACGUCGCAAGACCAAAAAGGGGGACCUUCGGGCCUCUUGCCAUCGGAUGUGCCCAGAUGGGAUUAGCUAGUAGGUGGGGUAUCGGCUCACCUAGGCGACGAUCCCUAGCUGGUCUGAGAGGAUGACCAGCCACACUGGAACUGAGACACGGUCCAGACUCCUACGGUAGGCAGCAGUGGGGAAUAUUGCACAAUGGGCGCAAACCUGAUGCAGCCAUGCCGCGUGUAUGAAGAAGGCCUUCGGGUUGUAAAGUACUUUCAGCGGGGAGGAAGGGAGUAAAGUUAAUACCUUUGCUCAUUGAUGUUACCCGCAGAAGAAGCACCGGCUAACUCCGUG